rnacentral:rRNA from 1 species
CGGUGUAGCGGUGAAAUGCGUAGAUAUCGGGAAGAACACCAGUGGCGAAGGCGCUCUGCUGGGCCAUCACUGACGCUCAUGGACGAAAGCCAGGGGAGCGAAAGGGAUUAGAUACCCCUGUAGUCCUGGCCGUAAACGAUGAACACUAGGUGUCGGGGGAAUCGACCCCCUCGGUGUCGUAGCCAACGCGUUAAGUGUUCCGCCUGGGGAGUACGCACGCAAGUGUGAAACUCAAAGGAAUUGACGGGGGCCCGCACAAGCGGUGGAGUAUGUGGUUUAAUUCGAUGCAACGCGAAGAACCUUACCAGGGUUUGACAUCCUGCGAAUCUCUUGGAAACAGGAGAGUGCCUUCGGGAACGCAGUGACAGGUGGUGCAUGGCUGUCGUCAGCUCGUGUCGUGAGAUGUUGGGUUAAGUCCCGCAACGAGCGCAACCCACGUCUUUAGUUGCCAGCAUUUAGUUGGGCACUCUAGAGAGACUGCCGGUGAUAAACCGGAGGAAGGUGUGGAUGACGUCAAGUCAUCAUGCCCCUUACAUCCUGGGCUACACACGUACUACAAUGCUACGGACAAAGGGCAGCAAGUUCGCGAGGACAAGCAAAUCCCAUAAACCGUGGCUCAGUUCAGAUCGUAGGCUGCAACUCGCCUACGUGAAGGCGGAAUCGCUAGUAAUCGCAGGUCAGCAUACUGCGGUGAAUACGUUCCCGGGCCUUGUACACACCGCCCGUCACACCAUGGAAGUUGGCCACGCCCGAAGCCGUUACUCCAACCCUUGUGGAGGAGGACGUCGAAGGUGGGGCUGAUGACUGGGGUGAAGUCGUAACAAGGUAGCCGUA